GAUGAACGCUGGCGGCGUGCUUAACACAUGCAAGUCGAACGGAAAGGCCCUGCUUUUGUGGGGUGCUCGAGUGGCGAACGGGUGAGUAACACGUGAGUAACCUGCCCUUGACUUUGGGAUAACUUCAGGAAACUGGGGCUAAUACCGGAUAGGAGCUCCUGCUGCAUGGUGGGGGUUGGAAAGUUUCGGCGGUUGGGGAUGGACUCGCGGCUUAUCAGCUUGUUGGUGGGGUAGUGGCUUACCAAGGCUUUGACGGGUAGCCGGCCUGAGAGGGUGACCGGCCACAUUGGGACUGAGAUACGGCCCAGACUCCUACGGGAGGCAGCAGUGGGGAAUAUUGCACAAUGGGCGGAAGCCUGAUGCAGAAACGCCGCGUGCGGGAUGACGGCCUUCGGGUUGAAAACCGCUUUCGCCUGUGACGAAGCGUGAGUGACGGUAAUGGGUAAAGAAGCACCGGCUAACUACGUG
rnacentral:rRNA from 1 species